rnacentral:rRNA from 1 species
AGAGUUUGAUCAUGGCUCAGGACGAACGUUGGCGGCGUGGAUUAGGCAUGCAAGUCGAACGAAUCCCAUCUGUGUAGCAAUACAUGGCUGGGGGAAGUGGCGAAAGGGGCAGUAAUGCGUGGGUAACCUACCUCCGGGACGUGGAUAGCCAUUCUAACGAGUGGGUAAUACGCGGCGAUUUGAUUGAGGGGCAUCCCUUGGUCAGGAAAUGAAUUUCGCCUGGAGAGGGGCUCACGUGAUAUUAGCUAGUUGGUAGGGUAACGGCCUACCAAGGCCAAGAUGUCUAGCGGGUGUGAGAGCACGACCCGCGCCACUGGCACUGAGACACUGGCCAGACACCUACGGGUGGCUGCAGUCGAGGAUCUUUGGCAAUGAGCGCAAGCUUGACCAAGCGACGCCGCGUGUGCGAUGAAGGCCUUCGGGUUGUAAAGCACUGUCGAGGGGGACGAAGCCGCAAGGUUGACCGAUCCCUGGAGGAAGCACGGGCUAAGUUCGUGCCAGCAGCCGCGGUAAGACGAACCGUGCGAACGUUGUUCGGAAUCACUGGGCUUAAAGGGCGCGUAGGCGGCUUGCCAAGUCAGUGGUGAAAUCCUGCAGCUUAACUGCAGAAGUGCCUUUGAUACUGGCGAGCUCGAGGGAGGUAGGGGUAUGUGGAACUUCUGGUGGAGCGGUGAAAUGCGUUGAUAUCAGAAGGAACGCCGGUGGCGAAAGCGACGUACUGGACCUCUUCUGACGCUGAGGCGCGAAAGCUAGGGGAGCAAACGGGAUUAGAUACCCCUGUAGUCC